ensembl:lncRNA
AAGAAAACUAGAUUGAGUAUUCAAAUCCCAGCUCUAUUACUUACUACUUGGGUGACUCUGGGGGCCCCUCCAGCUCGUAAGCUAUGAUUCCUGACUUGAAAAGAAUUGGGCGAGUGGUGAAGGAAGCUCUGGCCUGGGUCCCCCGGGUUAGUCACCUUUCCUCUCUGUUCUCACCUGCCCAGAGCAGUGUAUUGACCCUUCUGCAGGGCGGAGGGGCUGGAGGGCACUGGGGUUUUUAUCAGAUCGUCUUGCUAGGCAGCUCCUCCGCAGUCCUCGGUGUGAGGGCCGUGGGGGUUUUGCCUCUCCAGGUCUAGCGGGCCGGCUCUGCCCCCUGCUUGCUGCUCCCUGCUCCAAGGAAUACGGGCGGGGCCGGGCAGUCUGCCCAGGAGGGAGGGAAAGAAGGGCGGUGGGGGCUUUACGUGGCCGCUGCUCAAUCUGGGCGGGAGGCGGAGCUGGCGACGAGGAAGAAGCCAGAGUGAGCCCAAGUCUGGCGGGCCGAAGCUGCCAGGCUGCUGCUGCCGCUGCCGCCAGGGAGAAGUCGUCUGCUCAGGGGGCUCUCUCCAAUUCACACGUGGAAGGUUUGGUGAGCAACUCUGCACUCCCUUAUGUGAUGUGGCAAGACUUCACUCUGGAAAGACCAAGUCAAGAAAGCACAGGAUUAAAGAGUUCUUGUGCCUUUACAGCUCAGCAGAGGAAAUUUAACUCUAAAGUGAAGAGGGAGAGGCCACUACUUUCAUCAGUAUAGGGAACUAUACUCAAGGCUUGGUUGACUAGGGGUAUUGCUUAUGGAAAACUUUAUUUUCCAGGGAAGAAACUGACUGGCUGAGCUGCAGAGCACCCCAAAUGUGAACUGGGGGAGAGGCAGUCUACCUUCUCAUUCUGAAUCCACUCUAGUGUGUUAGUGAUAACAUUUUUCUUAGAGGGAAAAUUUUUGUUUAUAUUUGGCUUGGUCUAUCAAUGGGAUGUUCUUUCAUUUUUUAUCUCUUUACUGCCUUUGAGACUUUCCCAGCUAUUGAAUGUCAGAGUGAGAAGAGGAUACUUUCAUCCUCUCAAGGGGAAGAGAAGACUUACUUAUAUGAAGACACUAAAUAAGACUACCAGGUAGUACUUUGAAGGUGCCAAACAGAUGAGAUACAGUGAGCAACCAAGAGUUCAGAAGAGGGAGACAUCAGCCAGGGUAUUGGGGAAGACUAUAGAAAAAGUGGGAUUGGAAGAUGGCCUUGAAGGGUGAAUAGAAUUUGAAAAGGUACAAAUGAAGGUGAGACAUUGUAAGCUCUGUCUCAUUCCCCAAAGGGAACUUGAAUUGAGAAGCAACUGCCUGACCAGGUUUACAUGACCCUGCAUUCUCAGACUGGAAGAAGAGCCUACAGGUGAAAUACUCUGUAGUGACUCCUAGUUUGAUCAGCAGAGGACAUGCAAAGGGACUGCUGUGCUCCUUAGUCCCAGGGAUCAUGUUAAUAUUUAAUACUGUGCAGCUGGAGUUUGUCAGGAAAUGUGGUAAUGUAGGCAUGAAAAGGCAUGUGUUAUGUAGUGAGGCCAAAAUGCAACUCUGAAAAGGAAGGUUAAAUACAGGCAUUUUAGGAAAAUUAAGGACCUUGGAAAGGGAAACCACUUCUCCUUAGGAAGAAGUUUUUUCAGGUAGUAUUGGCAUUGGUAGGAAUGGGACAUAGACUUCCUUUUAAACUUCAGCCAUGGCAGGUGGGUUGUUGUUUGUUUAUUUUUUUUUUCAGUUAAACAUGUGUAAA